rnacentral:lncRNA from 1 species
CCUCUUGAAGGCCUCCGAGGCCUUAUACUUCGUGACAUAGUAGAGUCAGGCCUCCAUAAAGGCCUUGGUGGUGGAGCCCUAGUGGGCCGCUCCCCUAGGAGUAGAGGAACCCUCACCCGGGGCCCUCGGAGGAGGCAGUGCUCGGCCAACAUUCAGAGGCUCCGACUGGGCAAUCUUCACCCUCUUGGGCAGGGACUUCCCCUCAAGUACUUCACCUUCUUCCUGACGGCCUUUUUCACUGAUCAGGGCGAUGGUUCCAUUGCAACAAGGCUUGAGAAGACAGAAAGAAGUUGUCCAGCGAAUGCAUCUGGUCUAAGAAGCCAACCUAUUUAUAUAGGUCCCAAGCGACGUAUGCCCAGCCAACUAGCAAUCGGAUGGCACCACGCAGCCGGACCCAAAGCACCAAACAUUGCGGUCAUUAAUUGCACCUCCAUCCGUUCCAAAUUAUGAAGAACAACCCCU